GGGGGCGAUUGGCUUCGACGGGUAAUGUAAAUCUUUUAAAUGCAUGUGGAGAAUGCUCUACAAACUCCUUAAUCUUUAGGGCACAAUGUAAAUAGCGACUAUAGCUAUCCUGCUGUUGCUUAAUUAGUUAACAGCCAUCUCAUUAAAACUUUGUAUGCGAGAUUUAAUUGAGGUGUCAUUUUAGCAUACUAUGCUAAAAAUUUUCCUGAUAAUUUUUAGAUGAAACUAUUUACUUCGGUAAAUAUUCAGGAUAGUUUUAUUUGAUUGUGACUAUGCAAGCAAAUAAAAUAAAAAUAAAAUAUAGUCUAAACAUGUAGAUUUUAUCUGAAUUUCUUAUGCGGACCGCGGUUCGAUUCCGCGCGCCUCCACAA
rnacentral:tmRNA from 1 species